rnacentral:rRNA from 1 species
GAUGAACGCUGGCGGCGUGCUUAACACAUGCAAGUCGAACGAAGAGAAUUCGAGUGAAGCUUCGGCGGAACGAAAAUUUUCUUAGUGGCGGACGGGUGAGUAACGUGUGGGCAACCUGCCCUUUACUGGGGAAUAAUCAUUGGAAACGAUGACUAAUACCGCAUGUCAUCAUUAGGAGGCAUCUCCUGAUGAAAAAAGGAUUUAUUCGGUAAAGGAUGGGCCCGCAUCUGAUUAGCUAGUUGGUGAGAUAACAGCCCACCAAGGCAACGAUCAGUAGCCGACCUGAGAGGGUGAUCGGCCACAUUGGAACUGAGAAACGGUCCAGACUCCUACGGGAGGCAGCAGUGGGGAAUAUUGGGGCAAUGGGCGAAAGCCUGACCCAGCAACGCCGCGUGAGGGAAGAAGGGUUUCGGCUCGUAAAACUUCUUUUGUAAGGGUAGCGAAUAAGUCUCACGAGUGGGAUGAUGAGAGUA